UGAACGCUGGCGGCAUAGCCUAACACAUGCAAGUCGAACGCGAAAGCUCUUCGGAGUGAGUAGAGUGGCGGACGGGUGAGUAACGCGUGGGAAUCUGCCCUGUAGUAGGGGACAACCCGGGGAAACUCGGGCUAAUACCGCAUACGUCCUACGGGAGAAAGGGGGCCUUCGGGCUCUCGCUGCAGGAUGAGCCCGCGUCCGAUUAGCUAGUUGGUAGGGUAAUGGCCUACCAAGGCGACGAUCGGUAGCUGGUCUGAGAGGAUGAUCAGCCACACUGGGACUGAGACACGGCCCAGACUCCUACGGGAGGCAGCAGUGGGGAAUAUUKGACAAUGGGCGCAAGCUUGAUCCAGCAAUKCCGCGUGUGUGAAGAAGGCCUGCGGGUUGUAAAGCACUUUCAGUGGGGAAGAAAAGCCUGGGGKUAAUACCCCCGGGUCUUKACGUUACCCACAGAAGAAGCACCGGCUAACUCCGUGCCAGCAGCCGCGGUAAUACKGAGGGUGCAAGCGUUAAUCGGAAUCACUGGGCGUAAAGCGCACGUAGGCGGCGAAGUCAGUCAUAUGUGAAAGCCCUGGGCUCAACCUGGGRACUGCAUUUGAUACUGC
rnacentral:rRNA from 1 species